rnacentral:rRNA from 1 species
AUUGAACGCUGGCGGCAGGCUUAACACAUGCCAGUCGAGCGGUAACAGAGAGAAGCUUGCUUCUCUGCUGACGAGCGGCGGACGGGCGCGUAAUGCCUAGGAAUCUGCCUACUAGUGGGGGAUAACUUGCCGAAAGGCAAGCUAAUACCGCAUACGUCCUACUGUAACAAGGCGGGGACCUUCGGGCCUAUCGCUAUGAUCUCAGUCUGGGUCGGAUUAGUUAGUUGGUGAGGUAAUGGCUCAGCAAGACCGCGAUCCGUAACUGGUCUGAGAGGAUGAUCAGUCACACUGGAACUGAGACACGGUCCAGACUCCUACGGGAGGCAGCAGUGGGGAAUAUUGGACAAUGGGGGGAACCCUGAUCCAGCCAUGCCGCGUGUGUGAAGAAGGUCUUAGGAUUGUAAAGCACUUUAAGUUGGGAGGAAGAGCAGUUAACUAAUAUUUGACUGUUUUGACGUUACCGACAGAAUAAGCACCGGCUAACUUCGUGCCAGCCGCCGCCGUAA